ensembl:antisense Pard3bos1 par-3 family cell polarity regulator beta, opposite strand 1
ACACAGGGAAGAGGCCACAGAGGCCACAGAAGAAAGGAAGCUGUCUGAAUGCCAGGAAGAGAAGACUCAUACAAAUACAUCCUGACUAAUAUGGGCUUACAGCCAUUCCAGAUUCUCUCCACGAGGCUGGUUUUCAUCUUCCUAUAGUGUUACAAGCAUGAUGUCGCUCUCAAUGACUCCUUUGUAGAAAGAGCACAGAGAAGCCAGUGAGAAGCACAUCAAGUUGCUAAAACAGUUCAAACUAUUUUACUGACAUCAGCUCAGCAUGAAAAAAUGAAGUCUGUGAGACAGAGACUGUCCUAGUGGACUAAAGGAAAAUACUACAAUAGCCACAAGAUUGAAAUGAAGCCUCGGCUAAACAGCUCAAGCAGGUGCAUUCAAUGCUGCUUUUUAUAUAAAAUUCGCAUCUUCUCUUUCAUUUGAGGAAAUCCAGCAUAGAGUUGGCUUUCCAGUUACAAAGGGAGACUUGUUUUGCCACAUUGUAAACACUGAGGAUGAGAUUCCACUCUGAUCAUGGUGUGAAUAUAAACCAGGAGGAUGCUGACUAGGUGGCCAGGUCCCCAGACAAUCCUCACACUCCGACCACAAGCUUCAGUGGCCCUGCUUGGUAGAGCACAGCAUUCAAUACUGAAAAAAGUCAUCUUGAGGCAUGUGCCAUGGGCCUUCGUAAGCAGAAGCACUUCUUUCCUCCCUUACAAGCUUGCAUAUUUCUUUCUGAAGCACCGUUUAAACCUCUAGGCACAUCAUAACUUCAAGAUCCCUUCAAAAUGGUGAGGAUUAGCAUGAAAUAAAGACAUACACAGGAUACAGUGUGCCAUCCACUUUGAGAAAGAUCUACUCUGUGGCUCUCUGGGAGUCGUCCAUCCCCUACUAUAUUAUCCAGUGUAAAACACAAAGCACGUUCCAACCUCAGGCAUUAAGAUGAAUAUUUAGCAACUGUCUGGAAUAAACUCCAACAGCAGCAGUGGCUCCAACAGCCUCUGUAGCUGACACUAAUUCAUUGAGAUGUAUUGGGAGCUCUUGAGAAUGAAGAGUCUGCUAAUUAGGCCACCACAAAAAAAGUUCCCAAACUUCGACAAACUUCAGGCAAACAUCUGAUGAAGAACUUUGAUUUAUGAGCUGUCCAGGUGAAACUGAAACAGAUGGUAUCUUUUAAUAAUAACUGACAUAUGAGUUUGUUAAGAAAUCGAAUGGCUUGAAAAUAUGCUGCUUGGUAUAGGAAAAUGAAGAAAGCACUCAGAGUCACCUACCUUAUCUUUGUCUUCAACAACAUCUGCUAAGACAUCAUCCGGAUCCAGGAUUCCUCCAUCUCUGUAUUCUAAGUGAUGAAUCUUCACCCAGUAUCCAGGAUCCUGUGGUGGAACAAGUAAAUCUGAUGACUCAAUCUAUUUCUACCAAAGUAAGACACAUUUUAAGAGAGAUAAUUAAUCUCAAUAAAGUUACGGUAUAUUGAUUGUUGUAGCUAUGGUUCCCAUUGCUGUGAGAAAAUACCAUAUCCAAAACUAAAGUGAGGAGUCAAAGGUUUAGUUUGUCUUACAACUCUCAAGACACAGUUAAUUACUGAUGGAAGUCAAAGGAGACACUCAACAGGACAGAAGUCUGGAAGCCAGACCUGAAGCAGUGCUGCUUACUGGCUUGCUCCCCAGAGCUUGCUCGGCCAUAGCUUGCUUCUUAUGGCACUCAGAACUACCUGCCCCAGAGGAAGGUACCCUCAGUGAGCUCGGCCCUCCUACAGUAAUAAAUAAUCAAGAAAAAGUACUACUGGCCUUCUUACAGGCCAAUCUUAUAGAGAUAUUUUUCUCUAUCAAAGUCCCUCUUCUCACAUAUAUCUAGAAGUUGGAACACCAAUAAAACUUUUUAAC